CGUUUGAUUAGAAUGACAAAGAAGUUGUCAUAUUCCCAAACACAAAAACUGGGAUCACCUGAUUUGAAAGUGGGAUAGCUUCUUCAUCCUAACUCCUAUGAGAUUUACUCAACUUCCUAGUGAUUCUACACAACGUUAUGUAUCACAAUCAAGCUUCUUACAUAGCGAUUCAUCCUGGUUUGAUUAGAAUGACCAAGAAGUUGUCAGAUUUCAAAACAGGAAAACUGGGAUCGCCUGAUUUGAAAGUGGGAUAGCUUCUUCAUCCUAACUCCUAUGAGAAUUAUUCAACUUCCUGGUGAUUCUCCACUACUUUAUGUAUCAAAAUCAAGCUUCUUACAUCACGAUU
rnacentral:lncRNA from 1 species